rnacentral:rRNA from 1 species
GAUGAACGCUGGCGGCGUGCCUAAUACAUGCAAGUCGAACGAAACUUCUUUAUCACCGAGUGCUUGCACUCACCGAUAAAGAGUUGAGUGGCGAACGGGUGAGUAACACGUGGGCAACCUGCCCAAAAGAGGGGGAUAACACUUGGAAACAGGUGCUAAUACCGCAUAACCAUAGUUACCGCAUGGUAACUAUGUAAAAGGUGGCUAUACUACCGCUUUUGGAUGGGCCCGCGGCGCAUUAGCUAGUUGGUAGGGUAAAGGCUUACCAAGGCAAUGAUGCGUAGCCGAAUUGAGAGGUUGAUCGGCCACAUUGGGACUGAGACACGGCCCAAACGCCUACGGGAGGCAGCAGUAGGGAAUCUUCCACAAUGGGCGAAAGCCUGAUGGAGCAACGCCGCGUGGGUGAAGAAGGUCUUCGGAUCGUAAAACCCUGUUGUUAGAGAAGAAAGUGCGUGAGAGUAACUGUUCACGUUUCGACGGUAUCUAACCAGAAAGCCACGGCUAACUACGUG